rnacentral:misc_RNA from 1 species
AUAGGCAAACACGCAGAAGGACGGACUCCCCCAAGUGCAGUGUAUAGUGCCAAUUUCCCAACAGGAAUACCCAUCCCCUGACAGCCAAGAUCCCCAAGUCCCAAAAUACGCUCACCAUCUGUCACAACAAUAACUUGAAUACUUCUUUCAGGCCAGUUUUUCAAUACAUCAAGAAUCUUUCCCUUCUCCUUCAAACUUAUGUAUAGUCCCUGAGGACGCUUGAAGAUGCUUCCAUAUUUCUGACAAGCUUCACCUACUGUUGGAGUGUAAACAAUGGGAAGCAAUUCUUCAACAUUAUCAAUGAGAAGCUUGUAAAACAGCCUCUCAUUCCUCUCCUCAAGUUCCAUCAUGGC